UACAGAGGUCUCAAGCGUUGUUCGGAUUCAUUGGGCGUAAAGGGCUCGUAGGCGGCCAACUAAGUCAGACGUGAAAUCCCUCGGCUUAACCGGGGAACUGCGUCUGAUACUGGAUGGCUUGAAUCCGGGAGAGGGAUGCGGAAUUCCAGGUGUAGCGGUGAAAUGCGUAGAUAUCUGGAGGAACACCGGUGGCGAAGGCGGCAUCCUGGACCGGCAUUGACGCUGAUGAGCGAAAGCCAGGGGAGCAAACGGG
rnacentral:rRNA from 1 species